rnacentral:tRNA from 1 species
GGAUCGGUAGUUCAGUUGGUUAGAAUGCCGCCCUGUCACGGCGGAGGUCGCGGGUUCGAGUCCUCGUCCGGUCCG